rnacentral:rRNA from 1 species
AACGAACGCUGGCGGCAUGCCUAACACAUGCAAGUCGAACGAGACCUUCGGGUCUAGUGGCGCACGGGUGCGUAACGCGUGGGAACCUGCCCUUAGGUUCGGAAUAACUCAGAGAAAUUUGAGCUAAUACCGGAUGAUGUCUUCGGACCAAAGAUUUAUCGCCUUUAGAUGGGCCCGCGUUGGAUUAGCUAGUUGGUGGGGUAAAGGCCUACCAAGGCGACGAUCCAUAGCUGGUCUGAGAGGCUGAUCAGCCACACUGGGACUGAGACACGGCCCAGAAUCCUACGGGAGGCAGCAGUGGGGAAUAUUGGACAAUGGGCGAAAGCCUGAUCCAGCAAUGCCGCGUGAGUGAUGAAGGCCUUAGGGUUGUAAAGCGCUUUUACCCGAGAUGAUAAUGACAGUAUCGGGAGAAUAAGCUCCGGCUAACUCCGUG